CUGUAUGUAUUCAUGCAUCAAAAGAUUACAAGGAACUCUACAAUAUUAACAAUGCUCAUCUCAGAAGUAUGUUAAUAAGUGAUUGUUUUAUUGUUUAUACUUUCACACACUGAUUUUUGCAUGGUGAUUAUACACUACUUUCUAAUCAGAUUUUUUUUUAAUGUAAAUAAUAAUAAAUGCAGGUCUUAGCCAUUGUUUCUUUUCAUUUCCUUGAAGCAUUUCUUUGAAGGUGUUGAAGCUCGCGUGGCACAGGGCAUAAGGGAGGAGGAAGUAAGUUACCAACUUGCAUUUAACAAACAAGAACUUCGUAAAGUCAUUAAGGAGUACCCUGGAAAGGAAGUAAAGAAAGGUCUAGAUAACCUCUACAAGAAAGUUGAUAAACAUUUAUGUGAAGAAGAGAACUUACUUCAGGUGGUGUGGCACUCCAUGCAAGAUGAAUUUAUACGCCAGUAUAAGCACUUUGAAGGUUUGAUAGCUCGCUGUUAUCCUGGAUCUGGUGUUACAAUGGAAUUCACUAUUCAGGACAUUCUGGAUUAUUGUUCCAGCAUUGCACAGUCCCACUAAACCUUGUGAAAGAAGAAAAGAUAACUGAAUGAAGCAUUUGAGUAUACCAGACACUAUACCAAAAUACCAAGCAACUGUUUUG
rnacentral:sRNA from 1 species